rnacentral:sRNA from 1 species
GCUCAAGGUUUUGAUGCUGACUUAGGUGAGAUUGCAGAGGAUGAGGACAUAAGAGAAGAUGAGUUUCUAGCAAA